rnacentral:rRNA from 1 species
GAACUUAAGCAUAUCAUUAAGCGAGGAAAAGAACCCACCAGGAUUGCCUCAGUACGGCGAGUGAAAGCGGCACAGCUCAAUUUGAAAUCUGGCCCCCGGGCCCGAGUUGUAUUUGUAGAGGAUGCUUCGGGCGUGGUCCGGCCUAAGUCCCUUGGCACAGGGCGUCAUAGAGGGUGAGAACCCCGUAUGUGGCCGGGUGCCUAUGCCCGUGUGAAGCUCCCUCGACGAGUCGAGUUGUUUGGGAUUGCAGCUCAAAAUGGGUGGUAAAUUUCAUCUAAAGCUAAAUACCGGCCAGAGACCGAUAGCGCACAAGUAGAGUGAUCGAAAGAUGAAAAGCACUUUGGAAAGAGAGUUAAACAGUACGUGAAAUUGUUGAAAGGGAAGCGCUUGCGACCAGACUUGGGCGCGGCCGAUCACCCGGCGUUCUCGCCGGUGCACUCGGCCGCGUGCCAGGCCAGCAUCGGUUCCGGCGGCCAGACAAAGGCCGGGCGAACGUGGCUCCCCCCGGGGAGUGUUAUAGCGCCCGGCGCCAUGUGGCCUGCUGGGACCGAGGACCGCGCCUCUGGCUAGGAUGCUGGCGUAAUGGUCGCAAGCGACCCGUCUUGAAACACGGACCAAGGAGUGGAAUAAUCAUGCGAGUGUUUGGGUGCAAAACCCAUGCGCGAAAUGAAAGUGAACGGAGGUGAGAGCCCGCCAGGGCGCAUCAUCGACCGAUCCUGAUGUCUUCGGAUGGAUUUGAGUAAGAGCAUGGCUGUUCCGACCCGAAAGAUGGUGAACUAUGCGUGGAUAGGGUGAAGCCAGAGGAAACUCUGGUGGAGGCUCGCAGCGGUUCUGACGUGCAAAUCGAUCGUCAAAUCUGUGCAUAGGGGCGAAAGACUAAUCGAACCAUCUAGUAGCUGGUUCCUGCCGAAGUUUCCCUCAGG